CGACCUUUUUAAAGUCGAACAUCAGUUUAUAAAACUCAUUUCAUAUGACAUAAAUCAGCAAUUUGAUCCUUAAGUCUUCCCUAAAUACUUUACCAGUAUUAUUUGCAGGAAAGCUGUAUAUGAUAAUAUCUGGAUUUCAAGAGGGUGCUGAAUGAUACUUCAAAAUUAAGAUUGCUAUCUACAAUCAAGAGGGUGUGAAACAAAGUUUCACCACCGCUUGCUAAGUAUCCAGAAUAGCAAAACAAAGUUCAUCAGUUAUAGAAUGUGUUCGACAUGAACAACAGAGAAUCACUGCUUUUUUGCUGGCAUGCAUUACUAGUUAUUGAUAAAUUCGGACCAAGUCCAACCCUUGAUUAUUUGUUCCUAUGUAUAUUACCAAGAUCUAAGACAUGUCCUCUUGGGUACCUCUGAAGACGUGCCAUUUAAGGUGACUAAGGGUACCGUCGUAUACUCAUAAAAAGGGUUACAAUGUGCUUCAAAGGGCACUAAGACACCCUACAUGCACUCUCGUCAGCAGAGCUUUUAUUUGUCAUUAAAAGGUGGUUGAUUCCAACAAGCUCCUCAUUCCGGUGCUUCGGACUGGGGACAUGUUUGUGUUUGUGUUCUGUUGGCCGGCGACUAGAGCUUCGGCAUCCUAUCAAACACGGAGGGUUUGUGUUUGUGUUCUAUUGGCGGGCGACUAGAGCUUGGGCAUCCUAUCAAACAUAGAGGUCCCCACGGUAUAUGGCAGCGACAUCGUCGGGCAAUCGGAAACAGAAAUGAAGGAAAACAGGGUGGAAACAAGGGGGUUAUGUGGUGUAAUCUAGUGAUCUCUCCAUGAGAUCUCAGUCGGCGAUGAUGGCCCGAUCAGGGGUGUGUUUGGGCGAUAGUGGCAGCAUUGGUACUAACUCCUGCGAGGCGCCGAUUGGAGUGUACAACAAGGGUUUUGGCAGCACAAUCAUGAGGAAGGAAUUAGGGCAGCGAUUGGCGAAAAGGACUGGUGAUCGUCGGAGUGCCUUAAGGGGUCGUGGAUGAGUUAUACGAGCAGAGGC
rnacentral:lncRNA from 1 species